rnacentral:rRNA from 1 species
AGUGAACGCUGGCGGCGUGCCUAAUACAUGCAAGUCGAACGGAGUGGCGCACGGGUGAGUAAUGUAUAGCUAAUCUGCCCUACACUAGACGCCAACAGGUGGAAACGCACGCGAAUACUCUAUAGUGUAGGAUGAGGCUAUAUUGUAUCAGCUAGUUGGUGAGGUAAUGGCUCACCAAGGCUAUGACGCAUAACUGGUCUGAGAGGAUGAGCAGUCACACUGGAACGGAGACACGGUCCAGACUCCUACGGGAGGCAGCAGUAGGGAAUAUUGCUCAAUGGGGGAAACCCUGAAGCAGCAACGCCGCGUGGAGGAUGACACUUUUCGGAGCGUAAACUCCUUUGGUUAGGGAAGCGGUACCUAACGAAUAAGCACCGGCUAACUCCGUGCCAGCAGCCGCGGUAAUUC